rnacentral:rRNA from 1 species
CCUACGGGAGGCAGCAGUGGGGGAUAUUGCACAAUGGGGGGAACCCUGAUGCAGCGACGCCGCGUGGGUGAAGGAGCGUUUCGGCGCGUAAAGCCCUAUCGGCAGGGAAGAAGGAGGACGGUACCUGACUAAGAAGCCCCGGCUAACUACGUGCCAGCAGCCGCGGUAAUACGUAGGGGGCAAGCGUUAUCCGGAUUUACUGGGUGUAAAGGGAGCGUAGACGGCAGAGCAAGUCCGGAGUGAAAGCCCGGGGCCCAACCCCGGGACCGCUCUGGCAACUGUUAAGCUGGAGUGCGGGAGGGCGA